UCGUGCUCAUGGGUUAUAAAAGCCCUUUUAUAAAGCCAUUUUUAAACAAAACCAAAAAGUUUACAAAAGAAAAUAAAAGAUACAGAAGAAUGAGUUGCUUAAUAUAUUCCAAAAAGGAGAGAAAGAAACGAGGGGACACAAUUCCAACAUGCUGAACAAGGAAGGGUUGGUUUUUCCUCGUGGUUCUUUGUUUUAAUACAAAAUACAAGCGAAGGAUACACAUACUUCAAACAGAGCUCAGGAGCAGGUUUGCAGUCCCAGGAACCCUUUUUCAAUCAAAGCAAAGCAGGGGGGUUGUUAUUUCAUUUUUAUUUUUUUUUUUUUUUGUGUUUUUUUUUCUUUCUUUGCAGGUACAUACAGAGACUGGGAAUAUGUCAAAUUAAUCAGCACAAAAAGACCAUCACACGAUUCUACCAAUGAAUGUUUGCAGCUAGAAAUUCACCAACAUGGGCAACAGUCGUGCUCACUUCAACCCCUGAAAAAAACCUAAAACCCAAAGAAAAGGUGGGUUUGUUGUGUUUUUAGUUUUAAAUCAAGCAUGAAUGUUACAGUCAGGUUGAACUCCUAGUACCAUGCUGGGUCUCAGUGUUGUCCAGAGCUCCCAACCCCGCUGGCUGUUUGCAGCUGCCCCUUUUUCCUGCUUGGAAAAUUAACAAAAAAUUAAGAAUAAAAAUUCAAAAAGGACAGGGAGGGGAACUGCAAAGAGCCUGAUUUUUUUUUUUUAAUAAUUUUGUUUUUAUUUUUUUUCUCAAAAGCUGACCAGGGGAUUGCAGAUACUCAAGACAAAAUAUUCCUUGCACACCAGAAAAUGCUGCCAGUCUCCUCCUCCACCUUCACAGGGUUUGCUGUGACACCAUGGCCAACAACAACAACAACAAAAAUUAGCUCUUAUUUACAAUUCUCUCUUUUUUUUUUUUUUUUGUAACAAUUGCUUCUGCAGGAAAGGGGAAAAAAAAAAAAAAAAGCAGAAAAAAGAAAAUAAAACCUCACAAGUGCUGAGAACACAAAGGGGAUGGGAUGGCAGACACUCCCGCUCGCACUCACACACCGAAGAUUUGGGGUUUGUUUUUGUUUUUACACACAUUUAAGUCUGGCUUAAGCUGCUUUUAGGAUCUCCACCCUCCCUCCUCCCUCCCCCCAUCCCAAAAUAUAUAUAUAAAAAACCCUGGCCCCACUGUACAGAGCGUUUGCAGUCACACGGAGCAUGCUGGGGCCAGCACCCCUGGCAGGGCUGGGCUGGGCUGGGCUGGGCUGCACCCCAAAUCCAGGAGCUCCAUCCAAAACCAUCCAAAUCCCAGAGCUCCAUCCCAAUCCAAGAGCUCCAUCCAAAUCAGAGAGCUCCAUCCAAAAUCAUCCAAAUCCCAGAGCUCCAUCCAAAUCCAUCCAGCUCCUCAGCUGGGAAGGGUGGGAUGUCAUUCCCAGCCAGGCUGGGCUCGGGGCUGGCUCUCCCUGCUCUGCUGGGCUCCAAAGAGCCCAAAAUUCCUCCUUGCACAGGCAGAACAAAAUGUCAGCACUGCUUCUGUUCCAGCAGCACCCCAAAAGUGCAGGGGGAUCCCCCCAGCUCUGCUCGGGUCAGACAAACACAGAAUUGGUCAUUUCUGGGAGACAGAGGUGACAGCAAGCCCUCCCCAAGCCACACAGCCAAGGACUCUGCCAUCCCUCCCCGCCUGCUCCAACCCCUCCCCUCCCAGAAAUGAAAGAAUUCUCCAAAUGUCAGCACUGCUUCUGUUCCAGCAGCACCCCAAAAGUGCAGGGGGAUCCCCCCAGCUCUGCUUGGGUCAGACAAACACAGAAUUGGUCAUUUCUGGGGGACAGAGGUGACAGCAAGCCCUCCCAAGCUCACACAGCCAAGGACUCUGCCAUCCCUCCCCGCCUGCUCCAACUCCUCCCCUCUGAGAUGAAAGAAUUCUCCAGCAAAUUCCCAAACUCCUGGGUCACCUUGGGGCUUUUAGGAACCGUGUGUUCAACGCUAGGAUCCGUUAGAAAAAUAAACACUUCACAAACAAAAGGACAGAAAAGCAAAGCACCAGGUUGGGGUUUUUUGUUUUUGUUUUUUUCCUACAGCUCCAGAAGCUUCCAGCAUGGGACAGAUUCCUUCCCUCCCUCACCUCAGUGGCUCUUGGAUCUUUGGGGGGCAUCAGUGGAGGGAAUUAAAAAAAAAAAAAAGGAAAUAAAAGGAAAAAAACCUCCCAGGAAUUUCAGAUUUUUGCACUGUGCCUCUCUCCCCUCACUCUCUCUGCCCUGAAAAAUUUAAAAUUGAUUAAAGCUCCUCUGCUGCCCCAUCUUUAAGCCCUUCCUGACCCCCUAAGCUCAGCUCAGCUGUCAUUGCUCCCCCAAACCACCCUCAGCACAAACCCCCAGCUGAAAUUCAGAUUUCCCUGAUUUUGACCCAUUCAGAGCUGGAGGUGCUGUGAGGAUUCAGGGCCAGGAUGGGAACUCUGGAAUUUUAAAAUCAACACCAAGCAGGGCUGGAGACUGAGGGAAUUUGGGAAUAAAUCCAUUUUACAGCUGUGGGACACAGAAUCUUUUCAAAGGCUCCUCCUCCUCCUGUGAGUGAAACUUUCUGCUCCAUAAAAAUCUCUUGGUGCUAAAGAAAAGCAUUUUCCCCCAAUUUUCCUUCCAGAAUGUUUAAUACAAAUUAAUUCCAAUUAAAUUGGUGAUUAAAAGGUGAAGCCUGCUGUAAAAUGAUGUAUGUUAAAAUAAAAAUACUCAAAAUAAUAGAAAUUAUUUUGAAAAUAUUCAAAAUAAUAGAAAUAAUUUGAAAUAAUAUUCAAAAGUGCUGGAGACUGAGGGAAUUUGGGAAUAAAUCCAUUUUACAGCUGUGGACACACAAUCUUUUCAAAGGCUCCUCCUCCUCCUGUGAGUGAAACUUUCUGCUCCAUAAAAAUCUCUUGGUGCU